CGCCGAUGGAGGGGGGUAACUACUGGAAACGGUAGCUAAUACCGCAUAACGUCGCAAGACCAAAGAGGGGGACCUUCGGGCCUCUUGCCAUCGGAUGUGCCCAGAUGGGAUUAGCUAGUAGGUGGGGUAACGGCUCACCUAGGCGACGAUCCCUAGCUGGUCUGAGAGGAUGACCAGCCACACUGGAACUGAGACACGGUCCAG
rnacentral:rRNA from 1 species